rnacentral:tRNA from 1 species
GGAGGUAUGGCUUAAGUGGUAAAGUGCCUGCUUAGCAAGCAGAAAGCCCUGAGUUCAAACCUCAGUAUCACCA